rnacentral:rRNA from 1 species
CCUACGGGUGGCAGCAGUGGGGAAUAUUGCGCAAUGGGCGAAAGCCUGACGCAGCGACGCCGCGUGAGGGAUGAAGGUCUUCGGAUCGUAAACCUCUGUCAGCAGGGAAGAACGGUCACUGUGCUAAUCAGCAGUGACUUGAUGGUACCUGCACAGGAAGCACCGGCUAACUCCGUGCCAGCAGCCGCGGUAAUACGGAGGGUGCGAGCGUUAACCGGAUUUACUGGGCGUAAAGCGCUCGUAGGCGGUAUGUCAAGUCAAGGGUGAAAUCCCCGCGCUCAACGUGGGAAGUGCCUUUGAAACUGGCAAACUGGAGGGUGGGAGAGGAUAGUGGAAUUCCAGGUGUAGGGGUGAAAUCCGUAGAUAUCUGGAGGAACAUCAGUGGCGAAGGCGACUAUCUGGCACAUAACUGACGCUGAGGAGCGAAAGCGUGGGGAGCAAACAGGAUUAGAUACCCCUGUAGUC